CAGAGCUGGGGCGUUGGCUCUGGGCUUCCUUCUGUCUUGUGGUAAAGCUCUUAGGUUUUACCUCUGGCUUGUCCCACAGUGUCUGUCUUCUGUUCUUAGCCAGGAGCUGCUUGUUCUGGGGCUGCUGGCUCUGAGCACGGCUCCUCCCGUCCAUUCUGGCUGACACCUGCCCAUCCAUCCUGGGACCUCUCCUCUGCUCCGCCGCUCCCUGACAGCUCUCUGGGCUGGUGUCUCGUCAGCCCUCCCAGUUUCUGACGGCUGCCCAGCUGGCUGGACGGACCUGAGCAAUCACCCAUCUGGCUUCCAGGCGUCUUUAAGUGCACCAGGCACUGCGCUCAGCACUGGAAUAAAUCCUCCUGCGAGCCUCACGAGCAUCUUGGAGUGUUGCUAUCUGGGUUAUGAAGGAGGAAACUGCGGCUCAAAGAAGUUAAGUCACUGUCCCCAAGCUGCGGGCUGGACUCAAAGCCAGGUGUGGCUGCCAGCAAAGCAAUCCUGCUCUGAGCCUGUCUCCAGCUCGGCUUCAGCUCACACUGACAGGAGGACAGGACAGGACAGGACAGCACAAAACAGCAGACAACCCACACACCCGCCCUCCCUGACAUGGCAUCCUCCUGGGAGCCACUAGGCUGUCCCUCAGGGUCUGUCAGAGCCCCACAACACCUCCCCUGCCCCUCAGGGCUCUCAAAUGAAAGAAAACCCACCACAGACAAGCAACUGUGCCAUAAACAAAACCAAUUCCUUCAACUGACUAUGUCCACAACUAAAACUAUCCUCAGUACCCUUUACAAGAAGAAUGAGCUUUUCCCCACAUGCUCACACCUGACAAGCAGCAGAGAGAGAGAGAGCGUGAGUGAGAGAGACAGAGCGAGAGAGAGAGAGAGAAAGAGAGAGACAGAAAGAACGAACUGCAACUUGGGAAGGAAACAGCUGAAUGAGCAACAUGUCACAGUACAACAAUCCAUUCUCUGCACACAUACCCAAGUGAAGGCUUUCCAGACUCCAGAAUCUUGCUAUCUCUCCUCUAGCUACCAUCCUUCUGUUUGGAAAACGGCAACCUUCAGAGCAGGACUGGGGUGUGACUGAGGAGCCGGUCCCCAAGCAUCACCGAGGACUGCACAGGCUGGCAGCUACGGGAACUGCAGAAAUCGCUUAUUCACUGCUUUGACGCUGUGUGCGUUCCCAGCCAGAGCCUGCCCAGAAACUGACAGCUGGCUCCACACUCCGUGUGACCAAGGGUUAGUGGCUACAGUGACAUUGCGGGGGCCUUCAGAAGAAACUUCUAAUCUAAAGCAAAACCUAUACACACCAAAGCCAAACACACUCACAAGCCAUCAGGUGCUGUUGAGAGCCUUCAGUGAAGCUGGCCCUCCGGACCGGUGGGUUACACAUCUGUGGACUCAACCAACCGCAGAUCGAAAACAUUGAAGAAACUGUGACCGUAUUGAGCUCCCUGUCACCCAGGCAUCAGAGGCAGCAUGGAUGGCUGCUCCCUGGCCCCAAACAUCCAAUUACCUCGACCUCGAAGUUCUUCGCAUCUCCAGUGCCACCGUCAUUUUCCGAGGCAACAGACUCCUGAGGUCUCCAGUCCUCCACGAUCCAGCCAAUGAUCUCUCUGAAAUGCUCAUCUGAUCAUUUCACUCCCCUCAAAAGCCCUCAGUGGCUCCCAGUUGCCCAGGCUCUGUCCUCCCAGGCAGCCUGACCUUAGGGGAGGCCCACCUCUCAGCCUCCUCUGCAUCCUGCUACAGCCUUGACCUGGAGCUGAGGUCCUCUGACUUGUAGCAAUCGGGCUGCCUAAAAGCCCUAAGCCAAAAUAAGUGCCCCACCAUGCAUGCAUGCCAUGAACAUUUUAACACAUAAAUAGGUGCAAUCAUUCACCUUUGUCAUGAUGCAGGACAAGGCUCCCUGUGUACGAUCAACCGACUAGAAUUCUGCAUUGUCUCAUGUACAAUCCACACCCAUACGCGUCCACUCUGAUGUUCAGUUCUGGCUUCUUCAACAUUGAGCGAUAAAACCAGAGACACUGGUGAGACCAUCUGAAUACAGACUCCUUGAUAUUUCCAUUUUUUCCAAGCUGUCAAUUCUCAUCUAAUUUGAUAGAAUUUUCUUUAACAAUUCACUUUUACUGAGUUUCACUGGGUUUCUCCAAACUAUUCUAUUUCACUGUCAUAGAUGCCAAGUCUCCGUUCAGUCUCAUAGUCACAUUUUAUUUGCUUACAUAUUAUCUAAAUCAGUUCCAUAUCAUCAUAGUAAAGCACUGCCAUAAACAGGCUUGGUGGGGUCAUGCCCUUGACUCCUGGUGAGGAUACAACUCUUCUUGUGGGACCAGGGAAGAGGAGCCAGGAAGGCAAGCGCAGGCCACACUGCGGGAUCUGCCAGCUCCUUACAGAGGCCUAGGGGACACUGUGACCUGAUCAGCGUGGGUUUCUUUUGGGCUACCCUCCUCUCAGCUUCUCAGAUGUGCUCUCCUCCUCUCAGCUUCUCAGAUGUGCUCUCCUUUCUCUGGCCUCCACUUUUGCCUGGAACGCACUCCCCCUAACAACAAACUUAAUCUAACUCCCUUCAUCCCUCAAGCCUCAUUUGAGGUCACUUCCUCCGUGAGGGCUUGGGACAGCCCUGGUCCGACUGACAUGCUCCCCGAUUUAUUUUUUAUUUAUUUAUUUUUUUUGAGACGGAGUCUCGCUCUGUC